AUUGAACGCUGGCGGCAGGCCUAACACAUGCAAGUCGAGCGGAAACGAGUUAUCUGAACCUUCGGGGAACGAUAACGGCGUCGAGCGGCGGACGGGUGAGUAAUGCCUAGGAAAUUGCCCUGAUGUGGGGGAUAACCAUUGGAAACGAUGGCUAAUACCGCAUAAUACCUACGGGUCAAAGAGGGGGACCUUCGGGCCUCUCGCGUCAGGAUAUGCCUAGGUGGGAUUAGCUAGUUGGUGAGGUAAUGGCUCACCAAGGCGACGAUCCCUAGCUGGUCUGAGAGGAUGAUCAGCCACACUGGAACUGAGACACGGUCCAGACUCCUACGGGAGGCAGCAGUGGGGAAUAUUGCACAAUGGGCGCAAGCCUGAUGCAGCCAUGCCGCGUGUGUGAAGAAGGCCUUUCGGGUUAAAGCACUUUCAGGUGAGGAAGGGUUUUAAUAG
rnacentral:rRNA from 1 species